rnacentral:rRNA from 1 species
CCUUUGACGUUAGCGGCGGACGGGUGAGUAACACGUGGGUAACCUACCUAUAAGACUGGGAUAACUUCGGGAAACCGGAGCUAAUACCGGAUAAUAUUUCGAACCGCAUGGUUCGAUAGUGAAAGGNGGUUUUGCUAUCACUUAUAGAUGGACCCGCGCCGUAUUAGCUAGUUGGUAAGGUAACGGCUUACCAAGGCGACGAUACGUAGCCGACCUGAGAGGGUGAUCGGCCACACUGGAACUGAGACACGGUCCAGACUCCUCGGGAGGCAGCAGAC